AGGAUGAACGCUGGCGGUCUGCUUAACACAUGCAAGUCGAACGGGCGUAGCAAUACGUUAGUGGCGGACGGGUGAGUAACGCGUGAGAAUCUACCUUCAGGACGGAGACAACAGUUGGAAACGACUGCUAACCCCCGAUGUACUGAAAAGGCAAAUAUUUAUAGCCUGAAGAAGAGCUCGCGUCCGAUUAGCUAGUUGGAGAGGUAAAAGCUCACCAAGGCGACGAUCGGUAGCUGGUCUGAGAGGACGAUCAGCCACACUGGGACUGAGACACGGCCCAGACUCCUACGGGAGGCAGCAGUGGGGAAUUUCCGCAAUGGGCGAAAGCCUGACGGAGCAAGACCGCGUGGGGGAAGAAGGCUCUUGGGUUGUAAACCCCUUUUCUCUGGGAGAAAGUUGUGAAAGCAGCCUGACGGUACCAGAGGAAUCAGCAUCGGCUAACUCCGUGCCAGCAGCCGC
rnacentral:rRNA from 1 species